rnacentral:lncRNA from 1 species
UCCAGGUUAGUAAAAUGUGUGUGUACAUAUUCCCUUUCCUCAAGGAAAUGAUUUCGCCACAUGUUAUUUUUGCUUGCAGAGGGUAAUACUGCUAAUGCAAUUAGUGUGCGAGCCGAUGGACCUAGCUCCAGCACUGUAGAUGCCUUCCCAACAAGUUUCCGUUUGGCAUCAAGACGCUCCGUACGCCGUCGUCUAUCUUUUCUGCCUAAUUGGUAUGAUCAACCUAUUCUCUGUGCGUCUUUGCCUAUGCUCCCUCCCUACAUGUUUGGCUGGUUUGGUGUAUGCAGUCUUAUUUGGGUGUUGUUCGUCCAAACAAAUAAAUAGCAAUCAUUCCAUACUUUUUCCUAGUACGUAUAUGGCAUCUUGUAUUUAGCUUCUCUUCGCUAUUGCAAUGCCAGCCCAAGGUAAUUGCUCCCUUUCUUAUAACCAGCGACAGGUUCACCACACAACACUCAACCUGUGACGGCUGCAGCUAUUCCCCAUCGCCGUGAGUUAAAACAUACUGUGACUACUCUUUGCUCAGUUUUAAUUUGUUAUAUUCCUUACAACCUAUACUACAAUUGUGCUGUUCACAGUCCAUAACAGAUCGGCUAUGUAGGGUGGCGUUUAGCAGAUCUCCCAGAGCUGACUCUUUGCUGAAUCCAGCUGGAUUCUAGAGAGAAGUGAUUCUCUACUGAUUCUGUGAAGUGAUUCUCUGAAAUGAACUAAGAGGUUAGGAUCUGAAAAAAAUAGCUUCUCCUGAUUCUAUGAAGUGAUUCUCCAUCUUGAUUUUAAGUGUUUAUGCUAGAGAAUCAAAGAGAAUCACUUUCAGCCACAGAAUCACUUCUCUCAACGAAUCAGCUUCCAUAGAGAAUCAGAAUCAGAUGGAGCUCUACUAAAUAUGCCCGUAAUUCCUGCUUUCUCCUUUCCUUUGCACAUAACUUCCUUUCAUAACCCCUCCCGUCCAUAAAAAAUAAAUCAGCUAUGCAAAUGGUGGUGUAAGAAUGAGCAGCACAAAUUUGUCUUAUCAAAAGUUCAUAGACUCUGGUUAUGCAAAUCUUUUGCUUAGAAACCGUGUCGAUCAAUG